GACGAACGCUGGCGGCGUGCUUAACACAUGCAAGUCGAACGGAAAGGCCCUGCUUUUGUGGGGUGCUCGAGUGGCGAACGGGUGAGUAACACGUGAGUAACCUGCCCUUGACUUUGGGAUAUCUUCAGGAAACUGGGGCUAAUACCGGAUAGGAGCUCCUGCUGCAUGGUGGUGGUUGGAAAGUUUCGGCGGUUGGGGAUGGACUCGCGGCUUAUCAGCUUGUUGGUGGGGUAGUGGCUUACCAAGGCUUUGACGGGUAGCCGGCCUGAGAGGGUGACCGGCCACAUUGGGACUGAGAUACGGCCCAGACGCCUACGGGAGGCAGCAGGGGGGAAUAUGGCACAAUGGGCGGAAGCCUGAUGCAGAAACGCCGCGUGCGGGAUGACGGCCUUCGGGUUGUAAACCGCUUUGGACUGUGACGAAGAGUGAGUGACGGUAAUGGGUAAAGAAGCACCGGCUAACUACGUG
rnacentral:rRNA from 1 species